rnacentral:rRNA from 1 species
AACGAACGUUAGCGGCGCGCUUAACACAUGCAAGUCGAGCGAGAAAGGGCUUCGGCCCCGGUAAAGCGGCGCACGGGUGAGCAACACGUAGGUAAUCUGCCCUCAGGUGGUGGAUAACUUUCCGAAAGGAAGGCUAAUACAGCAUGAGACCACGGUUCCGAAAGGGACAGGGGUCAAAGCCGGCCAAUUCAUGAAAGCUGGUGCCAGAGGAUGAGCCUGCGGCCCAUCAGCUAGUUGGUAGGGUAAUGGCCUACCAAGGCGAAGACGGGUAGCUGGUCUGAGAGGAUGAUCAGCCACACUGGAACUGAGACACGGUCCAGACUCCUACGGGAGGCAGCAGUGGGGAAUCUUGCGCAAUGGGCGAAAGCCUGACGCAGCGACGCCGCGUGAGUGAUGAAGGCCCUCGGGUUGUAAAGCUCUGUGGAGGGGGACGAAUAAGGGUUGGCUAAUAUCCAACUUGAUGACGGUACCCCUUUAGCAAGCACCGGCUAACUCUGUGCCAGCCGCCGCAGUAAAAC